UACGGAGGGUGCGAGCGUUGUCCGGAAUCAUUGGGCGUAAAGCGCGCGUAGGCGGCCCGGAAAGUCGGAUGUGAAAACCUGGGGCUCAACCCCAGGCGUGCACCCGAUACUCCCGGGCUGGAGGCAGGUAGGGGAGAUCGGAAUUCCUGGUGUAGCGGUGAAAUGCGCAGAUAUCAGGAGGAACACCGGUGGCGAAGGCGGAUCUCUGGGCCUUGCCUGACGCUGAGGCGCGAAAGCUAGGGGAGCGAACAGG
rnacentral:rRNA from 1 species